CCAAUUUUACUUCGUUUAUGUAUUUUAGAGCUCAGUUGAAAAAAAAUAUGAUCAAUAAAUCUUGUUCAACUGAAUAUAGUGUGCAAUUUCUUAAACAUUUAUGUGUAAAUAAAACAAUUGCACAAAUCAACACUGGUUUUAACAGAAUUUAAUGUAUACUAUUUAUAUAUUUUUGGUUUUAAAUAGAUUGCUGAAAAUAUAUUAUUGAGCAUGUUUGCAUCAGGUAACAUGCAUAUAUUACCGGUAAUGCCACUGUAGUAAAAUCAUCAAAUACAUGUAAAUGUAUUUAUUUUGUUGUAACUUAAUUGAAUGGUUUUUAAUAAAUUUGUUGAAAUGUACUUUU
rnacentral:misc_RNA from 1 species